GGGACAUAGGUGAUUCUUCAGGUGGUGGGGACAUAGACGAGAUGCCUCCGGUGGUGGAGACAUGGGUGACUCUUCAGGUGGAGGGGACAUGGGUGACUCCUCAGGUGGUGGAGACAGGCGAGAUGCUUCAGGUGGCGGGGAAGUGGGCAAUUCCUCAGGUGGCGGGGACAAAGGAGAUUCUUCAAAUGGUGGGGACAGGGGCGAUGCUUCAGGUGGUGGGGAUAGAGGCGUCUCAAGUGCAGGAGAUGGGGGUGACUCUUCCGGUGGAGACAAGGGCGACUCCUCCAGUGGAGAAAAAGGUGAUGAUUCAGGUGGGGGAGACAGAGGAGACUCCUCAGGCGGCGGAGAGAGGGGCGAUUCCUCCAGCGGCCGGGACAGGUGCAAUGCCUCAGGAAGUGGGGAUGCGGGCAAUUCCUCAGGUGGUGGUGACAGGCGUGAUGCCUCAGGUGGUGGGGACGUGGGUGAUUCCUCAGGUGGUGGGGACAGGGGUGACUCCUCAGGUGGGGGCAGCAGUGGCAUCUCCUCGUUUAGGGGGGCCUCCAACUGGGGCUCAAGUUGGACCCCUGCUUUCCC
rnacentral:lncRNA from 1 species